UACGUAGGGUGCAAGCGUUAAUCGGAAUUACUGGGUUUAAAGGGUGCGUAGGCGGCUAUGUAAGUCAGGAGUGAAAGUUUGCGGCUCAACCGUAAAAUUGCUUUUGAUACUGCAUGGCUCGAAUUAGGAUGAGGUCAGCGGAAUGUGGCAUGUAGCGGUGAAAUGCAUAGAUAUGCCAUAGAACACCAAUUGCGAAGGCAGCUGGCUAGACCUGGAUUGACGCUGAGGCACGAAAGCGUGGGGAGCGAACAGG
rnacentral:rRNA from 1 species